GAUGAACGCUGGCGGCGUGCUUAACACAUGCAAGUCGAGCGAUGAAGUUUCCUUCGGGAAACGGAUUAGCGGCGGACGGGUGAGUAACACGUGGGUAACCUGCCUCAUAGAGUGGAAUAGCCUUCCGAAAGGAAGAUUAAUACCGCAUAAUGUUGAAAGAUGGCAUCAUCAUCCAACCAAAGGAACAAUCCGCUAUGAGAUGGACCCGCGGCGCAUUAGCUAGUUGGUGGGGUAACGGCCUACCAAGGCGACGAUGCGUAGCCGACCUGAGAGGGUGAUCGGCCACAUUGGGACUGAGACACGGCCCAG
rnacentral:rRNA from 1 species